CGCAGCCGCGGUAAUUCCAGCUCCAAUAGCGUAUAUUAAAGUUGUUGCAGUUAAAAAGCUCGUAGUUGAAUUUCGGGAUCAAGGCGUCGGUCGUGCUUCGGUACGUACUGGCGUCAUUGAUUUCUCCCUUCUGACGAACCAUGAUGCCAUUAACUUGGUGUUAUGGGAAAUCAGGACUGUUACUUUGAAAAAAUUAGAGUGUUUAAAGCAGGCUCACGCUUGAAUACAUUAGCAUGGAAUAAUGAAAUAGGACGUUCGAUCCUAUUUUGUUGGUUUUUAGGAUCAACGUAAUGAUUAAUAGGGAUAGUUGGGGGCAUUAGUAUUCAAUUGUCAGAGGUGAAAUUCUUGGAUUUAUUGAAGACUAACUACUGCGAAAGCAUUUGCCAAGGAUGUUUUCUAUUAAUCAAGAACGAAAGUUAGGGGAUCGAAGACGAUCAGAUACCGUCGUAGUCUUAACCAUAAACUAUGCCGACUAGGGAUCGGAUGAUGUUAAUUAUUUAAUGACUCAUUCGGCGCCUUA
rnacentral:rRNA from 1 species